rnacentral:lncRNA from 1 species
GACUGACCCCGUUCCUGCCGAGGCACCUGACAGCGCAGCUUCACAGAGGAGCAAAGCCACGGUGUCCAGGGCCAGCUGAGCAUUGGCAGCUCCCUCGUUCUUGGCCACCUCGGGUUUUUAGUCGGAGCUUGGAGGAGGAAGCUGAGCUUGGGAAGCCUGACCUCGGAAGCCCCCAGCCGGGCCCCCGACGCCCGGGCGCGCCCUCUGCAGGCUGGGCGGUUUGUCCCGGCGGGCGCUGCGGAUCCGGACGAGGCUGGCCCCACGCGGCGGGGCCGAGCGCCCCCGACGGCCGCGCGCUCCGGGGUUGAGCCCCCAGCGCCGCGUGCACCUUCCCUGCGCCCGACCUGGGGGAUGCUCGGCUCCCUGGGGGCUCCGGGCUCACGGAGCUGCAGCGCUGGGCCAGCGGUUGCGGGUCUCGCAGCUCGUGCAAGUGUGGGCCCUCUUCCCGGAGCGCCCCAGCACCGAGGCUGGGCGCUCGCCUCCGCGGAGCAGUUUUCGGUCUUCUCUCUCCCUUCUGGGCUUUGCGAUGAAACCAUAAAGGCCACCACGCUAGGCUAGACCCCACCGUUCAAAACAAGCUAUUAAACGGUAUCUUUAGAGAAGUGUGUGCACAUGUGUGUACAUCUGUUCCCUCUCUCUCACACACACACCCCUGAUUCUCCCCCCCCCCAUUGCUGCCUCUACCUCCCUCCCUCCCCUCCCAGCUCCCACCAGGUAUGUUCUAGAACAGACACAGGUUGCCGGCGCCGUCCACCAGCUGUCCCGAACAUCCGUUACAAAUCUCUGCGAGGGACGAAAACAUCUGUUCGGGUAGAGGCUGGAAGCCGAGGCGGCGGGUGCGGCACCGCGGGGAGCACCCCACCGCGGCGCAGCGCCAGGGGAGAGGGUCCCUGCAGGUAGCAAAGGAUUUUCCAGCCCGCAGGCACCGCAAGCCGAAGGGCACCGCGACGCUGCCCGAAAUGCGCGAGAUAGUGCACGCGCGUGAUGAAAAAGAAAUUUAAACAGGACAAAAGGACGCACAUGCAGGCAGACCCGGGAGGAUCAUUUCCUGGACCAUCCGCGUGCACCGACAGUUCGUCCCUGGGCCGUUUCUCGCCGCCUCUGCCCAGCAGCAGUUGGCCUCGCGGUUCCCGGGAGAGCCGCCACUUUUCCUGCCACGUUCGUUGGAGUCGAGCGUGGGCAGCCUCUGUAACUUCCCAGGGCUUUUGGCGAAAGGGUGUCAUGGGCACCCGCGCCUCGGGAGAGGCAAAAGGCUCGAUCUCCCUGGGUGCUGUGCGAACCCCGGAACCAGCCCCGGGUAGAUCCCCUCAGAGUUGGGAGAGGGAAGGCUUCCAGAGCUCUGCUCCCUACCUGGCCUCCCUCUUUUGGCUCCAGGAUCUCAACACUCACCCGAAAGAAAUGCCAAGCUUCCACUCUGCGGAAACCUAGGUGCCCCGUGCAGGCUCCACCCCGCACCCCCGCCGCGUGUUCCUGGGUAGAACGCUUUGCCGUAAAUUUUGCUAAAGCAGGGAAAGCGCGGGGCGGAUGCGGAGGGCGCAGGGCGCAGGGCGCAGGGCGCGGGCCGUGGUGGUGCCCGGCGGCCCCUGAGCCAACGCCCGGCGUGCGGUGGGGAAGGGGCAAGGUGGGCCCACACGGAUCCGAAACAGCAGCUGACCAAUCAAUCCACUGGAGGAGCCAGCAGCAUCGAAUUCAGUUUUUUUUUUUUUUAAUUGCCAUUGGGACCAUCAAUUUCCAGAGGCCUAAAAAUAAACCUCAAAUCCAAAACACAACACAGCCCUCACAGAAAAAUAGAAAAGGGGGGGAAAAAAACUAAGAACAAUCUCCCGGAUUUAAUGAGAGAGUCGCCCACAUCCUCAUCACCCCAGCAUGGUAAUUGAGCAGAUCUAUUAACUUGUUACACUAGAUUUGUUUAAAGAGACUAUUACACAGUCAUUUAAUCAAUUUGUUACACUGGAGGUCCUGACUUAUGAGACACUUGCCUUAUGAUUCCUUAAUGACUGAAUUAAUUUGUUUUAAUAAAACCAACAUUGUGUACAAGUACAUUUCUAGAAAUGUAAUUUUGGAGACAGAACAGUCCAAUGCUUCAUCUGAUUAGGUCCUUUCUAUGGUUUAUCAAAGUCUGUAGUUUCUGACAUAGCUGCUUGUAUGGAGUAUUUUUCUUUUUUAUAGCGCCAUUAAUUUAAUAUGGAUCAUUAGUUCUUUAUACACAUGCAUGUUCUGACAAAUGUACCCAAUGAAUAAUGCAGCUAAUGUGCUUAGGCCCAAAUGCAUCACAUCAUAAACAGAGACCUCUGCAAAAUAACAACAGUGAAAUAAAACACCCCCUCUGGUCUCCGUGGUCAUCAUUAGAGUAACAUUUUGAGUUACAUUUAAGUCUUGUUUUGCAGAGCAAGACAUGUUUGGCCCCAAGAUUCUAUCAACAUAGCCAACUGGGUCUAACUAUGUAGUGAACACAAAUAGAUUUAUGGUGAAUUAAGGUUGUCUUGAGAGCAGAUGCAGGACAAGAAAAUCGGUUUUGCUCUUGAUGGAAACUGACGUGUGUAGAAUAAAAUGUAAAUAAACAGAAAGUCCCCAAGAAAAGGGACUUGAUGUUAUUGAUUAUGUAAAAUAAUUAGAACAUUACAAAUGAUAAUGCACUACAAAUAGUUGGCAUUUAUGUCUAGAUUUUUUGCAG